rnacentral:tRNA from 1 species
UCUCCUCUAUUAUACUAAGUAAGCCCAGCUUCCAACUGGGAAGUUCGGCGGUCCGAGGGGAGAA